UACGGAGGGUGCAAGUGUUAUCCGGAUUCACUGGGUUUAAAGGGUGCGUAGGUGGGCAGGUAAGUCAGUGGUGAAAUCUCCGGGCUUAACCCGGAAACUGCCGUUGAUACUAUCUGUCUUGAAUAUCGUGGAGGUGAGCGGAAUAUGUCAUGUAGCGGUGAAAUGCUUAGAUAUGACAUAGAACAUCAAUUGCGAAGGCAGCUCGCUACACGGUUAUUGACACUGAGGCACGAAAGCGUGGGGAUCAAACAGG
rnacentral:rRNA from 1 species